UCAUUGUUGUUUAAUACCUCCAUCUCAAUUUCCUAUUCUUCGUUCUCUUCACUUACAACAGUUGGAGGAUGGUCGAAAGGAAGCUCUAACACUAGCUUCUUGCGAGACUUGGGUCCGAGAUGAGGGUAUGAGGUUGUCCCCUUUUCAGCUAGUCGUCUACUUUUGCGGGAGAUGUUAACUCCACAAUUUUGCCUGCAUAACAAUAAUAAAAAACCAUGUAAUAUGACAAUGUGAAAGGAUAAGUAAUGAUAAGAUGAAUGAAAGAAUAGCGAACAAUCAAAAUUUUCCUAGAAUUAAUUUGACGAACGAACUAAUGCAAAUACAACAUAUCCUCCCUGCAGUAUCUCAUCGACACUAUGGCACAAAAUUGCUUCAAAUCACACGUCACAAAUUAAGUCACAAAUAGUGAUUAAACCCUACACAAUGAUGAUCAAUAAAAUCACAAGUCAUAAUCCACCUCCUAACACCAAUCCCAAUUCCCAAUUCACCACGAAAAGAUCAAUCUCAACAACAUGGAAAUACCGGAAAAUACCCGCAAACCAUCGCCCGAAAUUUAAAUUUUGAACAACCAAAACUUAUUCAAUCAAUUGGAAAAUCAUACCACAAUCGUCCUACCAUACCCAAUUUCAACAAAGCACAAUCAACUUUGAAAACCCCCAACUUCAAAAGAUUAGGGUUCGUCCCUUCAAGCACAAUUCAAACGAAUCUACACAAUCAGAGCAAUGCAAUCACAUAAAUGGAUAGAGGAAUGAUCAUGGAAACUUACUUGGCACUAAUCAUUGCAAAAGUCAAAGAAAGAAACCAAAGUUGUCAAAAUUGGAAGGUGGGAGCAAACCGGUCGAAAAAGUUAUCUAAGUUGCUCAAAUCUAGGUGCAACUUGAAGCAAUUAGUUGGGAAAGGGUUGGGGGCCGGUCACGGUUGUCGGCAAGGUGUGCGACGGUGGUAGUGAUGGAAGAUGGAGUAGAAUGGGGUUAGGUUCGCUUUUCUGAAGAAGAAAGUUGUAAAGUUUUGUUGGAAAAUCAUAGGAUAAGGAGGUAUACCGCAAUACGUUAGUCUACUGUGCACUGAAGAUAUGUUGUACUUGCGCCACACAUUGACGAGAUUAUAAGGUGUACAUUGUACCAAACUUCCAUAGAUCUUCAAAAACGUGGUUAUAAUGUGCGAUGAAGGUCUUGGUGUAAUGUGCACCGCACAUUACAACAACCUUAGGUGCACAUUACAACAAAAAAAAUUAAACUCUGCACCACUUUUUAUUUUUAUACAAUGUUUUUCAUAGUCUGACUGACUCAACCAUGAUCAAAUAACAGGGACCUUGAUUCUUGACUCGACAUUAACAAUCAUGCAAACUGACUCGGAAAUAAAAAUAAAAGUGACUCCAUACAUGGGUUGUCUCCCAUGAAGCUCUCUUUGUUUAAAAUCUUUGAGCUAGAUGACACCUGGUAGUUUACUCUGCAAUGUCAAAGUAGUGAACCUUGAACCCAUAUGGGGGAUCCGCUCUAAGGUACCGUUUAAGAUGGCGACCAUUAAUUUUGAACAUUUCGUGCUCCGGGUGAGUGAUCACGAGAGUCCCGUACGGGAAGGUUUCUGACUUCAUAUGGACCUGACCAUCUUGAUUAUAGCUUUCUAGGGAAAAGUUGGAGGGAAGAAUUGUAGAGUAGCACCUUGCCGCCGUUGAAGAACAACUACGUCCUUUAAGUCUUGCUUCAUGAGGGCGCUUAGUCUUCUCCUAAUAUAAUCAUGCACUCUCAUAAGCGUGGACCAUGUACUCCAUUUCUAGGAAUUGGUAUUGCCAUUUUGAAGCUACUAGACUAGCAUAUAUAUUAAGUAGAUUCAUGGCCCACCAUGCCUUAUGCUCAUGCUCGACGGGUAAAUAGCAAGCCAUGCCAUAAACUAGUUGAUACAAUGAAGUGCCGAUAAGAGUCUUCAAAACAUUUUGAUAGGCCCAAAGAGCUUCAUAAAGCUUGUUCAACUAGUCCUUGUGAGACUAAUCACCCGUCUUUACAAGAAUUCGCUAAAGCUCGUGAUUUAUCACUUCCACUUGAGCACUUUCUUAUGGAUAGUAAACGAUGGUCAAAUAAUGAGUUACACCAAAUAGUUGGAGAACUCAAUCGAAUGGACCUUGAAAGUGAGUACCCCAAUCGAUUAUGAUAAAGCGAGGGGCACCAAAAUGACUGAAAAUGUGUUGGAUGAACUUUACCACCAUUGUAGCAUCAGUAGUGGGGAUCGCUUAAGCUUCUGCUCAGUGAGAUGAUGGAAAAGGACCCAUAAAAUUAAUACCCCACAUAUUAAAGAGAUGCAAGAAGUGUUAUAGUUUGAGGGAUCUCAUUCCUAUUAGAUAUAUUUCUUGAUCAUUGGCAUCUAUCACAUCCAAUCAUAAAAUUGUUGCAAUCUUGAAAAAUAAAAGGCUAAUAAAAACCCGAAUCAAGUACCUUACGAGCUGUGCGAUUUCUAUUGUAAUGUUCGCCAGCAAGCCCAGUCUGGCAAUGUGCUAGGAUUCUAUCUACUUCUUUUAUUGGAAUGCACCAGAGAAUGAUUCUGUCUGUUCCGACUCUAAGAUGGUGUGGGUCGUCCCAAUGGAAAUGCUUAACCUCGGCGACCAUUCUCCUCUUUUGCUGAUGGUUGAGGGCUUCAUCCAUGAUGUCGGCGGCUAAGUAUUAAAUUGGUGCAAACCAUGGGAAUUUUCCGUAUGGGUACUUCGAGAUCUGAUUUGCUUGCUGCGACAAAAGUAAUUGUACAUCAGGGAAAAAUUCAUUGAUCUCGAUCUAAAAUUACUUACUUGAAGAGGGGCCUUCUAGGUGAGAUAGAUGGUCUGCAAUGACAUUCUCUGCUCGCGCCUUGUCUUUAAUGGUGAUGUGGAGCUUUUGGAGAAGCAACACCCAUCAAAUAAGUCUUGGAUUUUCAUCUUGUUUUGCUAAGAGAUGUUUAAGAUCAGAGUGAGGCGUGAACACACUAGUAUGAGAUAAACCUAAGUAGGAAUGAAAUUUAUGAAAGGCCAGAAUCGCAAGUAGCUUAUUCUUAGUUGUUGUGUAGUUUCUCUGUGCAUCAAGAGAUUUUUUAUGAAAGGCCAUGAAAUUUAUGAAGGAAUGCAUGUUAGGUACUGCUGGUGGAAUGCUUGAAGUACAGACUUUUUCCCUCAGCUAAGUUUAGUUCACAAGAGUUCGGUCCACCAUUGUAGAUGACGGGGGAGAAAACUUUGAUGUAUUGUUGUGAUAUGAGUCCUCCACGCUAGAAGAACCUUCUUCGCUUUCUCGAAUAAGGAGAAGAGAUUCUACAAAGUCUCCUUAUUUAGUUAUCUCUUCUCUUUUAAAUAUUUCUCAAAUUUAACUUUAUCUCCAUAAUUCUUUAUAGAAUUAUUAAAAUAUAAUUUUUACUUCACAAAUGUAGUUUAUUUUUAUUUUUUCGAGUCCAAUUAGUCUCAUAUUUAUAUAUUUUAUUCAUGUUUUUAGAAAAACUUGAAAUUAUUAAUGUAAUUGUUAACUACACUUUAUAACAUGCUAAAAUUUUAUAAAGAAUUCGAUUAUGUUUCCAAAUGGAUGUUAACAUAGAAAUUUAUGUAAAUAAAGUCUACAACCAUUAGUUAAACUUAUAAUUGUCAUUUAUCAUAUUGUUAUAUCAUUAUUAUAUGAAGAUGUUAUGUUAUAUAACUGUUAUGUAACUGUUCUGAUAAUUUUGAUAAACAACGAAACAGUUUUGACCCCUUAUACUACCGUUAUGUCCAUGUUACCUAUCGGCUAUGUUUAUAUCAUAACACUUUUAUAUUGCAAAAUUGUUAUACUAUAGUUAUAUCAAACUUACAAUAAUGUUAUGCCAUUAUUAUGUCCAACGAGUAUGUUAUGUUCAUUUUACAAGUCUGUUAUAAAACUAUUAUGAAUAUUCGAAUCCUUUAACAAUUAAAAUAUAUUAGUUCUACGGAAACAAAAUAACUAAGGCUACUGAUGAAGAAUAGUGCAAAUAAUCAAGAUGAGUAUACAGUGUCUCAAACCCGUUAGGGGUCCAUUUGAUGUUGUCUUGUAGUGUUUUUUUAUCGAUUUCAGGAACAUGGCAACAUCAGGGCAUCAUUCGGAACUGUAUGAAGGGCAAGCAAGGGUUGGAUGCAUCGACGAAUGGAGAAAAACACCAAAUCGGCGUCAAAGACCAAAACUGCGCCUAACAUGUACCAAAAUUGUGCAGCGCACUUUUGGUCUGUUAGGGCGCAAUCUUGGUCUUAAAUCGGAUGUGAGGUCUCUGACAUUUAUACCAAAACUGAGCCUUAUAUAUACCAAAAGUGUGCAACACACUUUUGGUCUAUAUUGGGCGCAUUUUUGGUAUCCAGCAGGCUCAGGGAAUCCUUCUCCAUAAAAGCCCAACUCUCCCUCAUAAUUCGGGAACUUAUUUUUCCACACAUAUUUUUGAGUUCUUAGAGAGAGGGAGAGUGCUAGAGAUCGAUUAAAGCAAGAGAGCAUCAACGAUUGUAGACGGAUCGAAGAUCGGCGACAAGACAGAGAUUUCUCAACGAAAUAUGUUUUCUUCCCGGGUUAUUUUCCUUUCAUAUUCCCUUCUUGUUUCCCAAACCAUGAGUAACUAUUUUAGCUUUUGUAUGGAUGAAUGGGGUUUUAACCCUUUUAUUUGUUAUCGAGUUAUUCAGACUUUUGAUGUGUUCUUUCUAAACCUAAUUUCAUAUUCACUCUCAUUUUAUUGAUUUGUGGGUCGGAGAGGAACAUAGAUUGAUAGGUCGCUUUUGAAGAACUCUAGGUUAUAUGUUCGCUCGAGAGAGGAGCGUUAAAUCUAAGCUUUUUGCAUCGUUUAUCGUUGUGACAUUUCAUCAAACACCUUUAGUGCGUUUUGUUUAGGUGUAGAUUAGAUCAAGAGAGGAGUCUAUGGUUAAGCAGAAUUGAUCCUUAGACGCACGAGAGUGAUCUAAGACUACCGUACGAAAUCUCCAAGCCAUUAUAACCUUAAUAAUUGAUAUAACUUGUCGUUCAUCCAUGCAUUGUUAGCUUUAGUGGAUUCGAAUCUAAGCAAUCUUCAUUUCAUAUUUGAAACUCAAUCUCUUGCAUUUGCUUUCUUUUGAUUUGUGUUAUUAGUUGAUAAUUGGUUACUAAAACAUCCUUAUAAACAAUCAUUCAAUGUUACUUGGUCUAGUUAGUUAGCCAAUUUUAGUAAUAGCAUUAGAAAGACUGUAGGAAAAUAAACGAUUCCAUUAGAGCAAAGACUUGGGAUUGGUGUUAGGAGGUGGAUUAUGACUGGUGAUUUUAUUGAUCAUCAUUGUGUAGGGUUUAAUCACUAUUUGUGCCUUAAUUUGUGACGUGUGAUUUGAAGCAAUUUUGUGCCAUAGUGUCGAUGAGAUACUGUGGGGAGGAUAUGUUGAAUUUGGGUUGUUGAUUUCCCUUCAUACAGUAAGACAUGACACGUCUCCAGGGUUCCACUAGUCAAGCAUAACAACCUUCACGUGAUCCAGUGAGUUCAAGUUAAUCUUCUAUAGAAGAGGAGGGGGCCCUUCUUGCAAACAUUCCCAGACAUGAGAAUGUGGAAAACGUUCACGAGUACAUCAUUGCUCUGCUCUUGAUACAAAAUCUUAAGUGCAGUAUUUGACACACCAUACUUUACGUGCUGCCCCAACCAUCGCAUUACAUAUAAAAAAUACUUGAGAGAUUAACCCAUUAUUGGCACAGAGGGUGCAAGAACGGCUCAGUGAUUGUAGUCUAUACCAAACCUGCACCAAAACCAUCCACUCCAUCUGCUCGCCCUUUGGGAGUUCAGGAGCUCAUUAUGCUGCAUUAACCACAAGGAAUAGAAAGAUAAGAAAUACAUCAUGUAUCGUUUGGGAGGCCAACAGCUCAACAAGACCCCAAAAUAGCUCGUUGUGUCAUUGGGAUCCGAGUGUGACCCUGACAUACUCUCAACCGUACGAGGUUAGAAAUGACCUCGACUCAGUGAGAUGCUAGGUUCGUACCAUGUACUAGGAGAUCAACCACAACCCCAAUGUCAUUUUCAAAGCGAUCGAGUCCUUCUACACAUACAUUCUCGACCUGACCACACUUCUUCCACUUACUAUGGAGUCAUGGUCUAGUGUAUAGGGAUUGGGAGGAGCGUGGUUCCCACCACAUUCUCUAGGAUGAACUCAUCUUCCUCCGAGCAAUCAAGUAGGAGAGACCGCUCCACCUCAACUAGGUUGUGGCAACUUUUUACAUGACGCCUAGUUUGUCCAUUGGAUCAUCCACACCAAGGGGCUUCAGCACGGAUCAGGUGAUUCUUUCGCCUGCACCAACGAUGGAGUAUGUUGUAGCCAAUGUCCUAUAGAAGAUGGACAUCUACCUGGACCUCCCACACCUAAAUCCGGAGGUGAUUUCUACCCGUCAUAACCGCUAUGGCGCUCGAGCGCCUCAGAGAGGACACGGAAAGGGACAAGGAAGAGGCGGAGGUCUUGGAGACAGUCCAUAGGCGAUGGAGAUACACAUGCAUAUCAAAAGAUGCCACUAGUUCAAGGCUUCCAAGACCGCCCCCCUUACCAGCAGCCACCAAAACUACGAGUUUGCAUGUGGGACUUGAUCUAGCAGUGGCAAACUUCCUAUGCAGCGGCCAGCUUACCGUGACGGCAGCAAUAAGCAGCUUGGUAAAGAACAUUUUCCUUGGGACAGCUUCCUUGGUAGUAGGAGCAGGCUUCUUGGUAGUAUCAUUUCUUCAUUUUGGAUCUUAGUAUCGUGGAGCUUGGAAACUUGUCCUUUUUCCUUUUUUAUUUUUACGUGUUUGAAUAUUUUUAGAAGUUAGUGUCGCCGCUGAGCUCGAGUUCCUCUGGAUCAUGCUCUCUUGCCUCUCUGGCCUAUCACAACUUCCAGGUAUUCCAAUAACGCUUUUUCGUUUAGUUAAGUGAGGAAACUGUCCAAACUAAGUGCAGGGUGGGUGUGUAUAAGAUGCACGUCUUUUCGGGUUAUUCAGUCUGCAUGUUGAGUACUAAACUCAGGACGGUUGGAAGCAUCUUUGAAUCAAUUACUUGGCAUGCUUGGUGAAUUUCUAAAUGAUUUAUUGACUUUGACCGCAUUGUAGCUUUGUGAACCUAGAUUUGAUAGGAAUUUAGGCCAGUGAUCAAAGUCUAUUGAUUCAUUCUUUAGAGCUACUUUGAUAUGUUCAUAGUAUUGGUCUCUCCAACUUGAUGUUACAGGUCAUGAAUAGUAGUGAUAUACCAUUUGGCCAAACAAUGCAAGGCCUAAUAGACCAUUUGUGGUAUAGGUAGUUUGUUUCACUAGUAUCAUUGUUCUUAAAUUAGUUUGAGUGGUCUUCUUUGCUGGUUGUUAAUUUGAUGCUUGCAUGAUACCAAAUUGAACUUGCUCGGCAGUCACACGCAAGAAUGAUAGAGACAUUUAUAAAAUCCCCACCCAUAAAUAUCCAUCCCAUCCCAUCCCAUCCCAGCCAAACAGCCUUUUACUGGCCCUUCCCCCCUCAUUAUAUCGUAUCCCGUUCUUUCAAGCCAUCAUUUGAUCAAUGUUUACAUUAGUGGCAUGUAACUCGAUUAAGUGAGAAUGUCGGAUUAUCUAGUCUCAUUUUAUAGUAAUUCCUGUAUAGUGUUAUUUUAUCUAUCAAACAGAAAAACAAAAUAUUGAAAAAUGAAAAAUGGGAGACAAAUUGCAAAAACUCAGUGUCUAAAAAGUUGAAAAAUAGCAAAAAGAAAAAUAUAUGUCUUAGAUAGUUUAAAUAAAGAGCUGUAAAGCUCUAAGUGAUGUAGUUGAUUUUAAGGGAUAGAUGAGCUUAGUACAUAAAGCUUGUAGAUUUAGAUCCUUAUAAAGCACUUAGUGCUGUAGGUAGCUCUAGCUCCAUAUUAGAGUAGAUCGAGUCGUCCACCAUUGUGUACACAACAUAGUAUCUUUUCCCCUCUUAUUCUACUAUGUCCACAUUACAACCCUAAAUAAAAGACCUCAUAACUUGUGUGAAACUGCUUGAUGCAAUUGUAAAUUUGAUUGAUAUUUAAGUGUUAGAAGCGCACCAUAGAAAGAUUAAUGAGUGAAUAUACAUUGUCCAUAAACACUAAGAGUGAGUCUUUCUCAGCUUCAUCUUUAAGCUGUGCACCUAGUGAGAAGUCUAUAUGGGUAGUAUAUUAUGCAUGAUGAUGAUGAUAUUCUGGUGAGGCCCUUUAUUUUCUAUAUUGGUUUUUAUUGUUGAAAUUCACUUGUAAGUCGUGUAGUAUAGGGGAAGAUGAGGAAUAUGGGUUUGCUAGGAUUAUACUAUGCAUUUUGAGUCAUUUGUAGGUACAUGGCUAUUAUCAACUUUUUACUUGAGGAAAAACAAAGCUUAAGUGUGGGGCUAACUUGAUGACAUUUGAAUCACCAUGUUGAUCACCCUCAUUUAAGCAAAAUUUGAUGCAUUUGUACAAUAGGUAGAAGUUUAGGGUGUUUCGUUCAUUUUAAACUUUUAUCUCAUUUGACUGUCUCGGGCCCGCUCAGGGUCUAUUUGAUGCAUUUUGGAGUGUUUUGUUUAUAUAUUUUAGGUACAUAACAACAUUGGGGUAAAACAACAUGCAUGAAUGAGCUAAGACACAUCAAAAGAAUGAAAAAACCACAAAAGUUUGAGUUUUGGCCUAAUGUGCGUCUAAGCAUGUCUUAAUGUGCGCCACACAUUAGACCAAGCUUAAGGCGCACUUUACAACUAUGACUUAUGAGAUCUCUGAGUUUUGGGUCUAAUGUGUGGUGCACGUUAAACCAACCUCCACCAAUUAGGAUUUCUCUCCUAUAAAUAGACUGGCUCCCCUCAUUCUUGAGAGACAGCUUUAGGGACCAAAGUUGAGAUGUUUUUCAGAGACUUUCGAGCAACGACCAUAGAUCAAUUCAAGGAUCUCGGAUGGCUGAUGAAAUAAUCAAUAUUGAAGGAUCUUGUUCUUUGGAGUUCUCUAGUGAAAUUAGGUUUUUUCAGAAUUCUUUUCGUAAACCUAAUUUCAAUGGUUUUCUUUGUUGAAUGUGUUUUGUUCUUCGAGAUUAUGAGUAGCUAAACCCCUCUCUUCUUCGAUUAGAUGAACGUAUGAUACUUCGACUAUUUCAAUUUAUGCGAGUUGGAUGGAUUUUAGUUUACGAUUGAUUUUGUGUUUGUUCUUGUUCUUGUCUGGUCAAUUUGAAUAGGAUUAUGUUACAUCUGUGAAUAACUCGAAAGAGCUUGCUUAUCUUGGAACGCCAAAAUCAAUCAACUAGGUUAGUUGGUUUCACUAGAGAUGGGGCCAUCUACGUUAGUCCAUCGUUAGUGAAAUUCUAGAUCGAUAAAACAUCGUAUAGGCUUUAGAUGCAUGGCUUGAAAGGGCGGUCUAAGAUUCUAGGAUUGGUAAUAGGUUAGAAGCCUCGCAAGGGUGUGACCGAAGUAUAGAAGAAUUGCGAAGAUGAAUUGUAUGUAUCUGCUUUGCAUAAAUUGAAUAGUUGAACUUUUCACGUUUGCAUGGAUAGCCUAAAGGGAUUUGAAAUCUAAGCAAUUUCAUUGCAAUUGUUAUCAACCCCAUUUCAGUGUAGUCUUGCAAUCUUUUGCUUUCUUAUUAUCUUUAGUUUUAUAAUAUUGAUAAUUUAUGAAACUCACACCACAAUCUAGUUAUUUUCAAUGAGCACUUCAUCUUAGUUUGCGUUAAUACAACUUUGAAUCCUUAGGAAAUAUGACCCUAGUCAUUUAGGCGAUUAGGUUAUUUUUAGCGCUGGCAGCAAGCGUAUCAAUAUGUGAUAUGCAUCCGAUGUUGAUGAGUAUCAUAAAACAAAUAGCCCUUAUGGUGAUUACUGUACACAAAAAUGCACCGAGCAGUGCAAGACUGAAGUUUGGUUCGUUCAUGAAUAGGAAGUAGAACGAAAAAAAGACACUCAACGUAGAAAGCUUGGUACGGAGUGAUAUUGUCCAGAAUAAUUGAGACUUGUGGAUUAAUCAGAUGAACAACCUAUAUGCACAGUUUCAACCUAGAAGGUAGUAGACAAAUAAUAUUCUUGUAGAGCUGUAGAGGAGAAUUCUCCACUGAGACCAGAUCGAAUAACUUUUAAGUUUUAGCAAACUGUGUCUAAAUCAUGCGAACAAAAUCAACAACCACUUAGAAUAGGCCCAAUUUAAGUCAAAGUAAAUACACCCACACAUAGCGAGUCUCAUGAUCAAUAAAAGAGAAAAGUACAUGUACCCGAUGUGUUUCGUAACCCGAGCCAAGCCCCACAAGUCUGUAUGAAUCAAAUGGUUUUGAUAUAUGGGUUGUAAUAGAAGCGAAAGACCGUUUGAUAGUCUUGGAUGACAUACAUUCAUCACCUUCUUCUAUCAUUUAGCAAGAUGGUGAUUGUAUCUCUUAUUUCUUGUACUAGUUUAGUCAUGAUUGGCCAGGCCCAUAUGUUGUUAGAUUAGGGAUUGAUGUUGUUGCAAGGAUAAUCCUAUCAGGAUGAGGGGUUGGACAUAUUGGAUGCUUAUUAUGUUAGUGAUUACGUUUGGAGUUUCAACCUAGUUUUUGCUAUGGCUUGAAUUAGGUCAUAUGAAUCCUUUCCCUUGCAUGAUUACGAUUGGAAUGUGUUAGAAGUGAGUCCAAGGUUGAAGUAAGGUAUAUGUGGACAAAGCACACAUCGAUAUUCAAACUUUUGUGCUAGGAUUACCUUAGGAGCAUUUCAUCGAACACUUGGUGUGCGUUCCAAAAAUCACUCAAGUGGAUGACACAUUGAGGGAUGGAGCAUUUUCGAUGGAAAUGGUGACUUAGCACCCCUUUCUAUGUGUUUGUAGUGCUCUUAAGGUAUUCCAAACACCUAGACAUUUUAUCGAGCACCUUGUGUUCAUUGCAAGGUAGCUUGAUUUCAAGUGAACAACUAAUGGUAGUCCUUAUGUAUAACCUUGCUAUGGAUUCCUACGAAUACUUAGAGGAGAAUCAAUGUCAUAGCCGGUGUCCAUUGUUUCCAACUCUACUUGUGAAUGGAAUUUGAGAAUCGACUAAAUCCUGAAAUCUAGCAACUCUCUUCUCUCAUGGCUUACUCUUGAUACUUUUUGCCCUCAUUUAGUUAGUUGAAUUGAAUUGCAUGCUUGAUUGUGAAUGCUAGUGAACUUAGUUGGUAGUAAUAGAGCACCUUUCCACUCCCUAAAGCAUAAACUGCGGACUGAAUAGUUGAGUAGAAAGCCUAGUGAACGUACCUCGUGGCAUAAUGACACUUGUUGGUUAGGGACAUGGUUAUCAUAUUGAUUAUUUAGCUAUUUGGCACCAUUGCCGAGGAACUAGGUCACACCUUCGAAAAAUGUACUAGAACCACCGCUUUAGGCAUUCACUCCCGAUUUACUUUUUACUCUCCCCUUGUGUUUUAGUGUUACACUCCUGUGUGUGUUACAUUGAUUUGCUCAUUUUUUGUGUGUAGCACUAUCUUGUUCCUCAUUGUGUAUGAGACGUUCUAAGCGCAAUCGACAUGCACGAAGGCAUCUUAGGGACUCUACCACGCCCUCCACCACGCAUAGCCAUUCUACCUCAUUCUCCAUCAAUUGCAUCAUCGUGUACACCUUCAUCAAUCCGAGCAUCUUCUACACCACCAUCUCGUGAGGCAUCAGUUGUUGACUCGAGCUCUGAAGGAAAACUAGAGGUGUUUGAGAACGUGUUCGGAAUGGCUCAACAAGCUAGAACUCUUGGUGACUAUGCAAAGCCUACUCUUCAAGGUACUUUUUCGAAAUAUGCACCAUGGGUUGCACCUUAGUGUGAUGGCAUCACCUUGGACUUGACCUUGGUGCGAUGCCGGUGUUGGUACGGAUGCAUGGACUCACGGGGAACCUCACCUUUUCUCAAAGCAAUCUGAAACUAGCUAGGAUUAUCUCUUCUAUUAGCUACCUAAUGCUAGGAACUGUCACUCCAACUUAUACAACUCAACUUGAGCUCGAAGCCAGUGUCACUAGCUAUGAUGCUGAGCUGAGCUACAGUGAUGGUAGGGAGCUAGGUGGUUAGGAUAGUUACCCUUUCUCCUAGGAUGAAUUGGUACCCACCUCUUCAUGAAAUUCUAACUCAAACUGAGUUAUUUUCCCUCCAAACCUAUUGGACAUCAAGCUAGUUACUUAUAACUUCCCUCAAGUCUAUCCAUAGUCUUUUUUUCAUGCCUCUUGGUGUCCGGAUUCUUACCCCCUCACCCCUGACCCUUUCAUAUAUAAAGAAGGCUGAGUUUUAGGGGCACACGAAAAAUUAGAAAUUUGUCCUAGCCUACGAAAUUUUAAGUUACUCUAGUUUCUACAACCUAAGAACUCAAGUGUUGACGGUCUUAUCCCCGGAAGGGAUUUCCGUAUACCCAAGGCUUCAAUGGUGGAAAUACUCUUUUCGGAUAGUGGUGUCGACGAAUCCGUCUGAUCCAAUAUCUCAUUACUUGUCAAAACUCAAGGUAUUGCUACUUGGAACCUCUCGUUUUAACAUUCAAAAAGAGUAUUUACCAUGUCCAAGGGUGCGGCAAUCAAGGAGAUGAAAACAUCAUUAGGAAAGCUCGUCAAGUUUGUGGGUGUGCAUUUCCACCAACGGUAGAAGAAAAUGCACUUCCUUCUCACAACGGUGAAGGUUGUAUAUGUUCUCUCUAUGCCAUAUCCCUUGGAGGCUGAAGGAGAGAUGGACGGGCAGAGGCGGGAAAUGGUGCGGAAGCAAUUGAAGUAGGACAAUGAUGACUACAUAUGUCGUGCCCAUAUUCUAAAUGACAUGGAAGAUUCAUUGUUUGAUAUCUAUCAAAACUAUGAAUUGGACCACAAGUUGUGGGAUACAUUGGAGUCAAAGUACUUGGCUGAGGAUGCUUCGAGCAUGAAGUUCUUGGUUAGUAAUUUCUUAAAUUACAAGAUCGUCAAGACGAGACCAAUCAUGGAGCAAUAUAAUGAGAUGCUUAAGAUAUUGGGACAGUUUUCCCAAAAUGACAUAAAGAUGAACGAAGCCAUUUUGGUGUCGUGUGUAACUGAAAAUAUUCCUCAUUCAUGAAAGGAAUUUAAGCACAUGCUUAAGCACAGGAAGGAGGAAGUCUCCCUGAUCCAAGUUGGAAGCCACUUACGGAUAGAGGAGUCUCUACAAGUGAAAGAAGGUGGGAAACUAAAUGAUUCUUCAUCUGUUCGUAUGACGGUAUAAGGAGAGCCAUCUGGUCGACGGAAUGGGAAGAAGCGCCUCUAGAACAGCACCAAAGGAGACCCUAUCAAGAAUCAAAAUUUGCUUGUUUGAUGAGUGGGAAAGUGGGUCACUUAAAAUGUGACUGUCCCACCAAGAAGGGUCCAAAUCACAACAACAACCAGCAUCAGAAGCCUCGAUCGCAAGAUCAAGGUAGUUCCACUUCAAAAGGUGGGUCUUUGAACCUUGGUUUAGAUAUUGAUGUGAAUUAUGUAUCACUAAUAUCGGAAGCAGUCUAUAUGCAGGAUUGGGUGCCAAUAGAAAUGUAUGUAAGGAUUGUUACUGGUUCGAAACAUACAAGGCAUUGGAUGACAAUGAUGUUCUUCACAUGGGCAACGAGUCAACGACCCCCAUUGUUGGACGUGAAUUGGUGGUGUUGGAGCUUAGUUUGAGAAAAAUUCCUAGAGCUUAGAGAUGUUCUUCAAGAGAAGCGGUUCUCAUAAUGCUAGGAUUUGUAGGGUUUAUCUCACCCUAUUCGUAUGCUUUUUGAGUGAACAAUAGCUCGUUUGUGUUUCAAUUCCGUGUGAUUUUGCAUUUUGGCAUUGUAUUGUCUAGACCCGUUCACUUGGACCAUUUCGGUCCAUUUGAUAUGUUUCUUAUAGUAUUUUUCAUCCACUAGUACUUUAGAGACAUUUGAUCUGUUACAAGGCUACGGGCGCGGAUUAUAACACGGUUGGAGCUCAAAUGGGACGACGGUGCAAAAGUCGGUGAAGAAAAAAGGUUGUGCGACCUGCAUCAAUGCACAUCGUGCAUCGGUGCACGCCCUGCAGGCCCUAAACUUUAAAAAUCUCAUGGCGAAAUAACGGGUGCACGUCGUACACCCUUACACGCCCUGCACCCCUUAUUCCAGAAAUUUCCAUAUAAAAAGAGCGAUUUGAGAAAAGAGAAAGACCAUUUUCAUCAACGAAUUCCCAUCGUUUUCCCCUUGUUUUCCUCUGUAAAAACAUCAUCUAUUCAUCCCUAGAAGUCUGAUUGACGAUUCGAAUCAUUUCCCAUUGAAGAUUGAAGCUAGAAGGCUAAAAAUGAAGAUUGGAGCAAGAUCAUUUCAUUAUCUCUUCAUCAAGAUGGUGUUAGGUCUUUCUCUAUGUUCUCUUCUUCUAGAGUUAUGAGUAGCUAAAUCUUUAGAGUUUUUGGUCGGGAUGUAGGAAUUGAGCAAUGAUAGUCUCCCUACAAUUAUAGGGUCGACGAUUUUUGGAUAAUUGAAAUUGAAUGAAAGAUUGCUUUGAUUGUUGGGUUUUCAACCUUGUUCUUGUUACAACUUGAAUUAGGUCAAAUCUAUGACAUCCUCUAUUAGAUCAAACUCUUGAAAUCAUAUGAUUAACAAUCAUAGAUAGAAGGAAGUUAUUGAUGGGGUAAGCCAAUAGCUCGAUUCUACCUUUCGUGCUUCUUUUAGUUUUGACAGUUGUUCAUCAAGUAAUUGGCGGGCCCUCUACUUUGCACCCAAUGGACCAAGUUGGGAGUAGUUACCAGUAGCUUAGUUGUUGAUGGACCAAUUUAACACUAUUUCCAAUUGCUUGUGAUUUUCUUUAAUUUGAAGAGAGCACCUUAUCACUUUGUAGAACAUCUCGAUGUUCAUUACUAGUUAGCCUAAUUGAGGUUAUUCUAACCUUGAUUGGGAAGUUAGUAGUGGUAUUCGCAUUCAUGAUCGUGUCGCAGAUUCAUACGAGUGAUAAGAUGAGUUGUAUUAUUCAACCCAAGCCUAGAGUUUGCCCGAUCUGAUUGCUAUUAGGAAGUUGAGCUUGAUGAAUCAUCCCUUUCGAGAACUUGUUUUUUUCGUCUGUUCAAACCUUAAUUCUCAUUUUUAAUUGAAUUAGUAGCAUAAUUAGAAACUGAAAUCGAUUUGUUGAGUCUAGACCGUGUUGAUAAGUUUGAGUAGAAGCAUAACGAAAAGAAUCCUCGGACACAUAUGACACUUGUGUUGUCGAGAUAACUUUACGGUUAUUUUGGUGAUCAGGUACCUUGAAAUAGAAGUAGAAGGAGUUAUUGACGAGGGAAGGAUUAAAUUAGGGUUGUCACCGGAGAAAGUGAGAGCAGGAGCGUUAUGGGUGAUGGUUUAGGAGACUAUUCAAUUAAAAACAUACAAUCGAAUUGUUGAUAUAGGGGAAUACUAUUCGCCGCGCUACAACUUUUUUUUAAAAUCCCUUGAAUUGCUAUAAAUAGCUUAAAUUUCCUAACUAAACGCACAAACCCUAAAACCCACGCUCUCAAUCAACUUCUUUUCCAGCCAAUUAUCGACAAAACUCCGAUGGGCUCCCCACAAUCAGCUGUCGAUCCCAACUUCAUCGCUGAUUAUCGACAGUUAAAUUAAGAUAAAACAACGAAACCUAGCUAUAUACCUACGACGUGGACUCAUUAUCUUUGUUUGAACGUACUAUGUAUGAAUAAAUACUUGUGAACCUAACAUCACGAUCAUCAUAUCUCCAUCAUUGGAAGCUACAUAGACUAAUUUAAGUUGUACCUGAACUAAUUUUCUAAUUGUCAUGAACUAUUCGUCGCCGUUAUCAGUGGCUUAAUUCCUUAUGUGACUUUCAUAAUAAUAAAAUUCAAUCAACAACCGACGCCAGUCAACAGGCGGUGGCCCAGUCGCCAAUGAGGCCCUAUAGAUAGACAACUUGUUCGGACAUUGCCGGCAACAGGGUUGCCGUCGCCCAUUCUUCCUCCCCCGCCCCAAAGUUUGGCAACCAGUCCUAAUAGUUCAAUGACUAAAAACUGACCAAUGUCAUAACAAAUGAAAACGGAAAGAUUAUUUCUUAUUGGAGGUGAUCACAAGAAUGGUCGUUGGACCUUGACUCGUCAGAGAUUCGUACUGCUUAUACACAAAAGGGGCAAGAGAGUAAUAUUAUUAGUUUUAGGGCGAUUAUUUUGAAAUAUUCGGGUGAUUAUUUUGAAAUAUUCGGGCGAUGAAUAUCAAUUCACUCUAAAGUAUUGGGUGAAGGUUUGAAUCUAUGUUCAUAAUUAAUUUGAAUUUAUAUAGUUUUCAAAUCCAACUAAAUAAUCUAAAUAUACAAAAUCCAUACAAUCAUGAUUUGAAAUAAUUUGGAAAUAUAUUUUAGUAUAAAAUAUAUUAAAAAGGAAAAUAUUAGGUGUCAAAUCAUGUAGUUGGUAUAUUGUAGGAUUCCAUAUACGCGUACGGGUACUUCAAGAAUAUUGAAUUGUUCAACCCACAUUAUUGAUUUUUUGUUUAAUGAUUCUUCUAGUUGAUAAUCAUUAGAGUUAGGUAAAGAAGAGUUGGAAGAUAACAUUUGGGCAAAAGCUUCAAUAUGUUACAAUCUAUCAUUUUAUUACUAUCUACUACAAACUUAAACGAAAAUAUAAUGUCGUUAGAUUUUAGCUGAUGAGUUGUGUAUAUGGUAUUAUAGUUUCAGCCAUGUCACCCAAACCGCACAAAUGUCCAAUAACGUUGGAUCAUUUUAAUGUUUCUUUAAAUUGGUGAAAUAAUUUAGAUUGAGUAUUUGUGCGGACGAAAAAUUAAAUUAGAGCUUGCCUAUCUUUAUUAAACCCUAGAAUGGCCUCUUCUUCCUUAUUCUUCCCCCAAAUUGCCAACCCCAAUUCCAUCCUUUCAAUUCAAUUUUGUCUUGUGUCUCUCCACUUGGGUCCACCGGCCGUCUUCUCUGUUUCUCAAAUUUCGCCCACUUUUCCUUCUGGUUAUCUCCAGUCCAAGUUCUGGUGAGAUCAUCGAUCGUUCAUUAUUUUUAUAACUUCUUUGAGAUUGUCCAUCUUUGUUUCAUCUUCCUUUUUUCUUGUGAUUUCAGAUCCCAAAGAUUAUUGGCGCCAUCUCAAACGUGUAGAGGUGUAGUGCACACCGAAUGUAAAUUCAGUGGUCGGAAGUGUUCCCACCAGUGAGAUGCUAUGGUGAAGGUACCGGAACGAAGAAAAAUAGAGGAAAAUUGUUCUUGUCCCUUUUGGAACAUUUCGAGCAUUGACUAUGGCUACUUCAAAUGGGUUGACGAAGAUGAAAUGAGCACGGUGCAUGUGAACAUGGUGGCUGAGUUGACGAAAUUGAAUGAGUGGCCGAGUUGGAAAGAUGAAGUUCAAUAGAUUGGCUUAUCAUGAUAUCGAGGAAUGGAUUGGCUGUAUUGUUGUUGCUAUUUGUACUUGUACUAGCCUUUUGCCCCGUCCAUUGGAUGGGUUUAUUUAAAAUAAAACCAAUGUUUAACAAUAUUGGUAUGAUAUGAAUAAUAUAUUUGAAGUUAAACCUGUUUAGUUUUAUUAAUAUGGUGAUUUUGGUAUAGUAUUUUUUUUUCAUUGUUAAAUUGUUUUACGGUUCAACCAAUUUAAAUUGAGUGGGUGUAGGUGAGUUGUUCAAACCUGACAAACUCAACCAAUAUAUAAAAGAAUGCUACUUACUUCUAUCAUAUUCAAUAUUAAACUUCUAAUUCUCAGUAAGCAAGUAAAAUCAAGACCUUUCUUCAUGGAUUCACUCUCCAUUUUUUGUUGGCGAUUUUUGUUACGGUGGAUUCUUUUGCUUGAAAUUAUGCGUUUUGUGAUAUGAACAUCAUUUUGACCUAUUUCAUUUGUUUGGAAUCAUAUUUAAUAGUUAGGUGAAGUAGAUUUGGUUGUAUUUAUCAUAAUGGAUUCAAACCAAUUAGAGAUCUUAUUUUUUAUAAUUUAUCCAAAUUUACUUGUCAUUUGAUAUAUAAACCACCCAACCCAACCGCUCACCAAAUCGCUCACCAAAUAUGAGUGGGUAUGAGUCACAAAAAAGUGACCAAUCUAUUUUUGACUAAGUAAGUUUGAGUAUUAAAUCCGCUUAACCCACCCAAUUCUCAACCCCGUGUCUAUAAAUUAUUUUAAAAAUAAUAAUUACCAAAAUAACUCAAUCUAGACAAUAUUUCACUUCAUAUAAAAUGAUGAAUAUCAUAUUUUUGAUUUGAUGAACAUACUUAAUCUAGCCUAAGCAAUCCCAUUUAUGACCAAACUUUAUUAGGAUACAAUAACCUUCUUUAUUAGGAUACAAUAACCUUUAUUUGACAUUGAAACGUCCAACUCAUGAACUAAUGUAUGAUAACAAUAUUUUUAUCUAUAGUCUGAUUAGUAUGCAACUUCUUUAACUGAAUUUUUAACUUGAUUGACCCAAGUAUUAUAUUAUUUAAAUAUUUUUGAACUAUUAGUUAAAUCAUGAGCACAAUAUUAUCCACUAUUUAAAUUGAUAAAAAUUAAUUUGCAACUAUAUCACAUAACCUUAUUAAUCUAAUUUGUGACCUAAUAAACAUAUAAUUCGAUUUAUUUAACAUGUCACCUACCGAACGCGCACUUGACAUCUACAUUUAAUCCACAUCAUCAUCUUAUACAUAUCGACUAUACCAAGCUUUACAAAUAUAAGUAAAAACUAUUAACACCAACAGAUUAAUAAGAAACUGAUAGUAGAAUCCCAAAUACAAAGGUCACAUGAGACAUAAAUAUUCAUAUGUAUUCCCCAUAUAAUUGUAAAAAAAAAGUAAAGAACCCAAAGACCAGUUGAGUAGGCUAAGAAAUAGCUAUGCUAUGUCAACAUACUAUCGACGAAGACUGGUGAUCAUCUAAGACAUCACAGAUUCAGCUAAUUCAAUGAUGUAAGAGAACCUAAUAUGCAAGCUCGUUCAACCUAAUCAGUACUAAUUAAUAAGAGAAUCGAAAUUUGAAAGACACAGACUGAACAAUUGAACUUCCAACUAUGCUAUACAUAUUCACAAACACAUAAUGUGCAGAAACAUCAAAAGCGUCACGAUAUGAAUCAAACCAAAAAUACCAAAGAAAUAGCCUUUUAGCCCUGGGUCACCAACUGUGCAGCAACGAUAAGAUUCUCGGAAGCUUUACAUCAAAGGAAGAAAGCAACAGAAAAACAUAAAAGACAUAACAGAUCAUAUAGAAGAAACUGCGAAGGAGUGGUAGAAGCAUAAAAGACAUAACAGUUAGAACGAUACCCUAGAAAAAAAAACUCUGAAUCUCUUAUCAGGCUUCUUCAACAACAGAUCUUAGAGAAGGAACUGCGAAGAAGUGGAUGAGACAACAAAAAUACAUCAGUUAGAAACAUACCCGGAGCUCUCACAGAACACAAAACCAGUCGCUCGAAACCAAUCCCGCGGGCAGCAUCGUUGGCGUAAGAAGAAGGUCGUUAGGGGAAGGAGAAGGCAGAAGAGGUAUGGUAGAUUUAUUCCCGACAGACAAAGAAGGUAUUGGUUUAAUGAAUCCAAUUAAAUGAAAACGAUCAGACAGAUGAUGUCGUUUCAUGUGGUUUCCGAAAAAGCUCUGAAUCCUCCAAAUCGACUUAGUUGCCGCCGUCGUCGUUGGCAGGUUACGAACAGUCGAACAGGCGGUUGUGAUGGGUUUGUUUGGAAGAUAGAGGUAGAGGUGGAAGAAGACGGUUUCUGUCGCCGGAAAACAAAUAAUCUGUUUUUAGGUUUGGAAAAUUCGCCUUAAAUUGGGUAGCUUAUUAACAUUUUUUAUACCUUACCUAUCUUGAUAGUAUAUUUUGAUACCUUACCUAUCAUUUGUAAUG
rnacentral:lncRNA from 1 species